UACCGCAUAACAGCAACUACAUUACCCAGCGGUAACAACAACCAACAAGUCAAACUAGCCGUUUCCCCUCCAUUUACCAAUUUAGCCUCUCACUACAACCAUCUAUGGCUAAAAUCGGACGGUCUUUCACCAUUUUCAGCUGGUGAUUAAUUUCCUUCUUCUUCUGCGGAAUGUCUUUCUCUGUCUCUCUCAAAUUCAAUGACACAAGGCCUUUACUGCCCUUUGUCUUACUAUGGACCUGAAAUUGUCCAAGAAAUCAAUCCCAAAAUUUGGAUUUGAAAUCCACUCUUUCAAAACCCUAGCUUCCCCUAGAAAUAUAUAGUGAGGGAUAAGGGUGAAGGAGGGGAUUCUUUGGGAAAAAUUCGAGAUUCUGGAGGACCGUUUCUCUAAUCUCACGUUAACCAAAGAAUUCAAGAAGAAAUUCUACCGAAAAAUCAAUUCCUACAUAAAAUUGUAACUCCGAUGAAAACAAAGCAAAUUUUGGUGGAAUUUUGUUCAACUAAAAGAGCUCAUCGUCCCGGUUCCUGCUCCCCAAAAGCAUGUUUUAAAAGAGCUUUGCUCCAUUCGUCAGAGGCGGCCGACUUCUUGCUUAAGGGACAUGACGCUGAACCACCAUGCCAACUCUAGUGGUUGAGCCUAGCAGUUUAAUAACUCAAAAUAGUCUCUUUUUAUUUUCCCUUUGAUGGUUUUUGUUAGAGCAUUAAUGAGUUGUUUUUGUCUUUCUCUGUAUUUAACUAGAAUGUCAUUUUGACAUACCAGCUAGGAAAUUUCUUAUCUCUUAUGGCUAAUAGAUGAAGGGGAGCCUUGCAGUAACUGGUAAAGUUGCUGCCAUGUGACCAAGAGGUCACGGGUUCAAGCCUUGGAAACAACCUCUAGCAGAAAUGCAAGGUAAGGCUGCGUACGAUACACUCUUGUGGUGGGGCUCUUCUCAGGACACCGCACAUAGCGGUAGUUUUAGUGCACCGGGCUGCCCUUUUAUGGCUAAUAGAUAAAAUGAAUUUAGUUUGUCCAGUUGUGUGAGUUUCUUAUGUACUUUUGCAUGAUUAUGCACAUCUUAUUUGGAAAAGUCGUCUAAGUAUUCCUACUAAUUCUCCUUUUCUCCUCUUUUGACCAUGAAACUGCUUGAGACGAGUAGGUAUGAAAUAUAAACUCGAAUCUUGGUUCUAUGUUUGUAGUUGGUGAUAUCUUAAGCUAGCGAUUUCUUUCCAAAGUCUUGUCUCCUUCUAAGCUUAAAACUAGUUAUUCUUGGAGGGUUGCUUAGCAGCUUUCCUUUUGUACUCUUCGGACAUGUGAAUGAUUAUUAGAACCAAGGCUAAGCUUUAGCUUGUGUUGACAAAAGUCUGCCUAGAAAAUUAGUAUGCUAAUAUCUCCUAGAAAGAAUAGCCUCUUCUUGAUUUAUGAUAAAUUGGUUUAAUUGUUCUUGCCUCAAAAUAGAUUAAUGGUCAUUAUUUGGUAGUUUUGUUUACGAUUUUCUCCAAAAUCAUUUGUUUUUCUCUUUGUUUUGAUGCAUGAACUCCUUCGUCCGAGUCCAAUUAGACUCCAUACCCAUGCAUCUAUCUAGGUUCAACUCCCAAAAAUUCCCAAAGGGAUUAGUGUGAAGAAACAUGACAGAUAUGCAUUGAUAUACAACCAAUAUACGGAAUUUACAGGUUAUAUGUUUCUGGUAUAUGCCAGUAUAUGGCGAAUAACAACAUUGGAAGCGAUGAUAUCAUUUUUUAUACAUUUAUAUACAGUGUGUAUGAAGAAAAUGUAGUACCAACAAGUCUUAUAUGCAGUCAAUAUACAGAUGGGUAUACACUGCAGAAAUGGACGAAAAAUCCAUAAAGAAUAGGCCCAAAGCUGGCCAGAUUUGAAAAGGGCCCAAAUUUUUAUUCUUCUUAUAUAUUUCCUGGUAAACCUUAUUUGAUUAUGUGUUUGUAUUAAGUUCUUAAUUUGGUUAGCCUUUAUAAAUCCCAAAUCGUUAUUUUUGUUUGUCUCUGUAUUUUUUGUUUGCAUAUUUUUAUUACGUAGCGUAAUGUUCAAAAUUUUAAAAAACAUAUCUUUCUUUACAUUUUCCCUUAGAACGAACUCUUAAAAAUCAAAAUGACAUUUUAUUAAAGUAGUUUAUUUAAGGUAGAGAGAAUUCUCAUAAACCUAAAAUCAAUUUUCUUUGCAAAAGAUAAAAACAUUUUCACUAAUUAGCCAAAAUUCAUAAUUUGUUUAAAGUGAUAUUUUUCUGUUAAGAUAGAUAUUUUUGUUAUAAAAAUGAUCUUCAAAAAUCUCCCUUUUAUUUGAAAAAUAAUUUAUAAAGGAAAUGUGUUUUAACUCAUCCUUCUUUAUAGAAAAUUUUACUCAAAUUAAAUGAGACUAAUUUUUGCUUAGGUCAUUUUAGGUCUUAAAAAAUAGUACUGCCUCCGUUUCGAAAUAAAUGAAUUGUUGGAUUUUGGCACACAGAUUAAGAAAAAAAUCAUCAAAAACAUUAAUUUAACAUAAAUUUUCAUUUUUACCCUUGAAGUCGCUUUUACCCAAAAAAAAGAAAAAACUGACCUUGGUAAUGCUAUUGGCUGCAGUCUCUUUUGCUUGUUAAAUCAUAAGGGUAAUUUUGAAAAAAAAUUCAACGAUUCAUUUAUUUUGGAACACAAAUAAAUAUCCCACCAAUUCAUUUAUUUCGAAACGGAGGGAGUAAAUAAAUAAUUUGUUGAGUUAAAGUUAGUAUUUUUAUAAAAUCAACUGCCUUGCAAAGUUAGUCAUUUUUAUAUUAGUCAAAAAUUAUGUUUUGGUGAACCGUUUUAAACAGACGCUCCUAAGUGCCUUAAAAACCUUCUUAGGACGUUAAUUGAACCCCUACUCAGCUUCUCCUAUUUCAAAGAAUUAUUUCUAUUUUUUAAUCUUUGAAAUCUCUGUAAAGUUUUUUUGAUAUUUUCUAUAAAAAUCAAGUGGCGACUCUAUAAUUUUUUUCAAAAUUAUUUCAAAUUUUUUUGAAUUUUUUGAAAUAGUUUGGAAGAGGCCAAAACCAUUUUCUUAAAAAUAAAAUUUGAAAAAAGGAUAAAACAAAAAUGACAACUCUGCUGGGCAUUUGACUAGGUUCUAACCAAAUGUGGGAACUAACUUCUUUGACUAACUAUUCGGGUUGUAAUAUUUAAACUAUUUGUCUACUUAUGUGUUUAAAUUUACACAAAAUUUAAAUUGUUGCAUUUCAUGGCAUACUUCCACAUUCAAAAUAUAUAAAUUGUUUGGAGUUUCGUGGAUGUCCCGGCUCCUAUUGUUCAAUUUCAAAUCAAGUGUUAGUAACAAGUUAGCUUAUUGGCACGUUGGGCGUUCGAUGACUAUUUGUAUUUCCAAACCCAAGUCGUUCGCUUGGGAACCUGGUUAAAGCCCACUGUAUACACUCAGGAUAGAACAAUAUCAAAACCCUAUUUUAGGCAUGAGCCUAGGACAACUCAAUACCCGAGGGAGUAUUGGGCUCAUUUGAAAACCUACCCUGCAUCUAUUGGCCAUGAACCAAUUACAGACAAAUCAUGUUUGUGUGUUAAAAAAAUAUGUCUGUUUAAUCCAAUCAAUUAUUUUUAGGGUAGGGAAAAGAUUUAAUUUUAUUUACUUUCGUGUAGUAAUGGCUCAACCAUACCCCUGCAAAAGAUUCAAGAUGUUACCGACUUGGUAACUUCUUGAAAGUAUAGUGGACUCAUAUGAGUGGAAAAGAUAAGGAGAUUGUUAGUACACAUAUUAGGCAUCUACUAUUGCUUAAAGAGAUGGACGCUUGGCCUUAAAUGAUCCAUGUGCCAACAAUAUUUUAGGAUGAUGAAAACAUGGUGUUUCUUUUCGGGGAAGUCAAAUUGACCCCACCAUUGAAGAAACAAUGAAUUGUUAUGAGAGCAUCGAUAGAUCUAGGAAAAGAAGGAGUGAGCCCGACAAAAGCAUUCUAAUCCCUAUUGUAUGGAACUGUCAGGAGAUCAAGGAUGCCUUUUCAAUCAAUGAUGAUACCUGGUUGGGGGAACAUGAUGGAGAUAACAUACCUUUUCGUGAGUUGUAUCGCCGGUUUGAAAGGUUUAAUGCUUUUGAAAAAUUUGGACAUAAAUUUGAAUUGGAGUCAAAAUGGAGGGAGAAAAGAGCAUUUGCUUUCACCGUGAGCUUGCUUGGAACUAUGGUAUUCCCACAAGGAAAAAAUGACACCAUUCAUCCAAGAGUCAUUACGGUGAUGCAUGCCCUCUUCUACGGAGUAGAUUGCAAAACCACUAAAUUAUUCCAUACUUUAGCUCCCAUGAUCGUCACUAAAAUAUAUAUGGAACUAGGAAAAUGUCAAAGCAGACACUGUUUCUUCAAGGGGUGUAACCUUAUCUUGCAAUGGUGGAUGAUGAAACAUUUAUUGAAAAAUCCUAGAGUAGAGCAGCCGAACCCUCAGAAAAGGGUAGAUCUUUUAUCAUCGCAUGACAUUUGGCUAUCCUUGCACAGGUUUAAAAGGAUAAAAUCUUUGAGAUUUUGGUUUAAGGUUUUUGGGGAAUUGAGAGAGGACAACGUCUAGUGUUCUAUAAGAUAUCUUCGCCUAGGGAAGUACAUCACUCGAGAAAAUGAAUGGCAUUUUUAGUACUUUCAGGUCUCAGAGGAACUCGUUCUUAUAAUUCUGAGAGGGUUCUUAGGCAAUUCGAGAUCAAGUAGGAAACACCGCAAACAGUGUCAAAGGUUAAAUUCAUCACACAGUAUAAAUAAGGUGCAAACCCACUCAAAAAGUACAUCGUAGAUGGGUAGAGGAGAAGAUAAGACAAAGGAAGUAUCCUUUCGUAUAGGGUAUGAAACCGAGGUUAGUGAUACCUACAAAAAGUGCUUGAAGAAGAAUCUUGUCGGAACAUUGGUCCCGAGGUCAAAUGUACCCACACAAAUCAUUGAUGUAGAAUCAAAACAUCAGAUUUGGCUCCACAAGCUUCAGGAUGAACUCCAAGGAAGUGAGAUUGUGCACCAGCAGAUGCAUAUGGAGGAUGCCUCAACUAUACACCAAUUGAGAGAAGAGUUAAAGAGAGCGAGGCAAGAGAUUGAUGAUGCAAGGCAGUGUUUGCUUGAUUUGGAUAAUCACAUGGCUUCUCAACUUGAUUGCAUAGGGAAGAUGACCUACGACAAUAAAUAAAGCACAAUUAUGCAGGAGCCACCUGGUCAUACAAAUAUCACAUAUGGAAAAAAGUAGAUAAAGCCAAGAAGGCAAAGGCCUAUGAAGGAGCAUCUAGGAGUUAAUUUUCUAUCCCCUGUGCGGGACUUUGUUCCUGUCAUUUUUCUUUUCCCUAAAGAUUGUAUCCCUUUAUGCAACUUUUGUAAAUAUUUAUGACCUUCCUUUUAUAUAUAUGUGGAGAUUUUUGGGGGAUAAUUGAUUGGUUUAAAAGAAAUAUAUUUCCUUCAAAUUCGCUAUACCAAACCUUGGCUCAAAAGGGUCACCCAAUUAGGACACGCUAUUUAUUUUUUUAUUAUUGUGUGAUAUAACUGUAUUAUGUGAUAUAACUGUUUAUGUUCUUAUAUGCAUUGUUAAAUCAAAGAUAAAUUGAUCUACUCUUCAACAAAGUCUUAGAAACCCUUUAGGCAAAAUAUGCGCUUUUUAUCCGAAGUCUGCCCAAAAUAUUUCGAGUCGUCAAGUCUCUUAGAAAGUCCUCAAUCAUUUUCGUUAGCUUUCUUUUUAAAUAUAUUCUUAUUCUUUAGGAAGAUCUGUCAUGGAUUCAAGGACCAUACAACUGAAAAGACGGGAUAGUGGAGUUAGCCCAAGUGGAGGAGAUGCAAAACAAAAAAGAUCAAGAGACUGAUUAGGAGGGUUGGUCAGGCCAACAAGGAAAUUACUGUAGUCAAGCAAUUGAUCGCGCAAGAAAAUAAGAAGUUUGAGUAAGCUCCACCUUCAAACUUAAGAGAAGACCACUGGGCCAAGAUUAAAGGAGAUGCCUUUUGUCCAACUAGGAUCAAGUUGGAAUGUUAAAAGAUCACUCUCAGAGCUCACUUCAGAGGAUACUUUCGAUGUCCCCAGAUCGUGACAUGCUCGGCAGUUUACCAAAUCUUAAGAGAUAUAAGAGUCCUCUACCCUGAUCAAACAGAAGGAUUUUGACUGCUUUUCUGAAGAUGCUCAUAAGAAAUGUUAUUAUAAUCCAAAUCAAUGUGGUCAUACCGCUGAUGAGUCUCUUGCUCUGAAGACCAGGAUUUGCAACCUAAUCUGCAACGGCCAAAUAAAUAAUUUGUGGGGACCACAAGCCAUUCUCUAUUGCGAUCAAGUUGAUCUAGGCAUGCCCAUAACCAAUGACGUGCAGAUUUAUAAAUAUAACUUCACAAGGUUUGAAGAUACCUACCAUGAAAUCUAUUACAGCUCAUCCAUGCUAAAAUUCUUGAACCAGUGGAAAGGAAGCCUAAUACGAUGUCUAAGGCUUUGGAAGAAAUUCAGAGAGGUUUGUCAC